rnacentral:rRNA from 1 species
UACGAAGGGAGCUAGCGUUGUUCGGAAUCACUGGGCGUAAAGCGCACGUAGGCGGUUGUGCAAGACCGAUGUGAAAUCCCCCGGGCUUAACCUGGGAAUUGCGUUGGAGACUGCAAGGCUGGAGUCUGGCAGAGGGGGGGUAGAAUUCCACGUGUAGCAGUGAAAUGCGUAGAGAUGUGGAGGAACACCGAUGGCGCAAGGCAGCCCCCUGGGUCAAGAC